AUUGAACGCUGGCGGCAGGCCUAACACAUGCAAGUCGAGCGGUAGCACAGAGAGCUUGCUCUCGGGUGACGAGCGGCGGACGGGCGAGUAAUGUCUGGGAAACUGCCUGAUGGAGGGGGAUAACUACUGGAAACGGUAGCUAAUACCGCAUAAUGUCGCACGACCAAAGUGAGGGACCUUCGGGCCUCAUGCCAUCAGAUGUGCCCAGAUGGGAUGAGCUAGUAGGUGGGGUAAUGGCUCACCUAGGCGACGAUCCCUAGCUGGUCUGAGAGGAUGACCAGCCACACUGGAACUGAGACACGGUCCGGACUCCUACGGGAGGCAGCAGUGGGGAAUAUUGUACAAUGGGCGCAAGCCUGAUGCAGCCAUGCCGCGUGUGUGAAGAAGGCCUUCGGGUUGUAAAGCACUUUCAGCGGGGAGGAAGGCGGUGAGGUUAAUAACCUCAUCGAUUGACGUUACCCGCAGAAGAAGCACCGUCUAACUCCGUGCCAGCCGCCGCCGUAAUAC
rnacentral:rRNA from 1 species